rnacentral:rRNA from 1 species
GACGAACGCUGGCGGCGUGCCUAAUACAUGCAAGUCGAGCGGAGCGGUGGAUGGGGGAGUAACGCGUGGGUAACCUGCCCUUAAGUCUGGGAUACUAUUUGAAAACAGAUGCUAAUACCGGAUACUAAAGGAUGGACCUGCGAUGCAUUAGCUAGUUGGUAAGGUAACGGCGUACCAAGGCGAUGAUGCAUAGCCGAGUGGAGAGACGGAUCGGCCACAUUGGGACUGAGACACGGCCCAGACUCCGACGUGAGGCAGCAGUAGGGAAUCUUCCACAAUGGACGAAAGUCUGAUGGAGCAACGCCGCGUGAGUGAAGAAGGUUUUCGGAUCGUAAAGCUCUGUUGUUGGUGAAGCGGUAAUCAACCAGAAAGUCACGGCUAACUACGUGCCAGCAGCCGCGGUAAUAC